GCUUAUCUGCAGUCGAGGGGCAGCAGGUUUGUAGCAAUACAGAUGCUGGCGACCGGCAAACGGGUGCGGAACACGUACAGAACCUACCUUCGAGCGGGGGAUAGCCCAGAGAAAUUUGGAUUAAUACCCCAUAGUAUAUUUGGAUGGCAUCAUUUGAAUAUUAAAGAUUUAUCACUUGAAGAUGGCUGUGCGUAUGAUUAGGUAGUUGGCGGGGUAACGGCCCACCAAGCCUACGAUCAUUAACUGGUGUGAGAGCACGACCAGUCACACGGGCACUGAGACACGGGCCCGACUCCUACGGGAGGCAGCAGUAAGGAAUAUUGGUCAAUGGACGCAAGUCUGAACCAGCCAUGCCGCGUGGAGGAUGAAGGUCCUCUGGAUUGUAAACUUCUUUUAUCUGGGACGAAAAAAGGGAAUUCUUUCUCGUCUGACGGUACCAGAUGAAUAAGCACCGGCUAACUCCGUGCCAGCAGCCGCGGUAAUACGGAGGGUGCAAGCGUUAUCCGGAUUCACUGGGUUUAAAGGGUGCGUAGGCGGGUAUGUAAGUCCGUGGUGAAAUCUCCGAGCUUAACUCGGAAACUGCCAUGGGUACUGCGUAUCUUGAAUGUUGUGGAGGUGAGCGGAAUAUGUCAUGUAGCGGUGAAAUGCUUAGAUAUGACAUAGAACACCAAUUGCGAAGGCAGCUCACUACACAAAUAUUGACGCUGAGGCACGAAAGCGUGGGGAUCAAACAGGAUUAGAUACCCUGGUAGUCCACGCCCUAAACGAUGAUUACUCGACAUACGCGAUACACAGUGUGUGUCUGAGCGAAAGCAUUAAGUAAUCCACCUGGGAAGUACGACCGCAAGGUUGAAACUCAAAGGAA
rnacentral:rRNA from 1 species